rnacentral:rRNA from 1 species
UGGGGAAUAUUGCACAAUGGGGGAAACCCUGAUGCAGCCAUGCCGCGUGUGUGAAGAAGGCCUUCGGGUUGUAAAGCACUUUCAGUUGUGAGGAAAAGUGAGUAGUUAAUACCUGCUCACCGUGACGUUAACAACAGAAGAAGCACCGGCUAACUCCGUGCCAGCAGCCGCGGUAAUACGGAGGGUGCGAGCGUUAAUCGGAAUUACUGGGCGUAAAGCGCACGCAGGCGGUUUGUUAAGCUAGAUGUGAAAGCCCCGAGCUCAACUUGGGAUGGUCAUUUAGAACUGGCAGACUAGAGUCUUGGAGAGGGGAGUGGAAUUCCAGGUGUAGCGGUGAAAUGCGUAGAUAUCUGGAGGAACAUCAGUGGCGAAGGCGACUCCCUGGCCAAAGACUGACGCUCAUGUGCGAAAGUGUGGGUAGCGAACAGGAUUAGAUACCCUGGUAGUCCACACCGUAAACGCUGUCUACUAGCUGUUUGUGGCUUUAAGCCGUGAGUAGCGAAGCUAACGCGAUAAGUAGACCGCCUGGGGAGUMCGGCCG